GCACAUGCACACAUGUAUGUGUCACAGUUUAUGUGUGGAAGUCAAAGACAACUUCUUUCCUUCAACCUUGUGGGCUCCUGGGUCCAAAUUGAGGUCAUCAGGUUUAUGGCCUUGAACUCACAGAGAUCCACCUGCCUCUGCCUCCCAAGUGUGGGUAUUAAAGGCGUGCGCCACCACUGCCCAGCUAGGUAUUUUCUAAUCCUCCUCAUGAUUUAUUCUUUGAUGGGCUGCUAUUUAGGAGUGGGUGUUUGGGGUUCUGAAUGUUCAUCCUUUCCCCAUAUGUAUUUCUGACUCUGCCUUCCCGUUCCCCCAGGCUGCCCCUGUUCCUUGACUCAUAGACCUCCACGUUUUUCAAACCUGGGACUCUCGUCAGUCCUGUGUCCCGGCCAGCAUCGCGUCUGCUCCUAUUCUUCUGUCUCCCUCUUUCCUUUGUAAGAACCCUCAAUACACUGAGUCAUUUGAAUGAAGCAGAAUCCUCUCCAUCUUGGGCUCUUCAGCUUAAGUGUCUCUGCCGCAGAGCCUGCCACAAUGGUGGAGGACUUCAGGGGACACCCAGGGGACACCCAGAGCAGGUUGGCUGGAGGUCAGAAGGUCCCUGGCUUCCAUCGGUCCAAGUCCCAGAGCUCCAACCUGGAUAUGAAAUGGGAAAACAAAUGCUUUCCUCUACACAGGAGGGCAGUCAGAUCGCAGGAAGUUAUGCACCUUGCUCCCUCACCGGCUGGCUCAUUGCUAGCUCCCUUCCUCAAGGCCACACAUUCGGGGCAGUCUGAUCACGACUUUGAGCCCUCCUUCCCUCAGAUGGAGAAAUGCAAGUAUGCCACCCCUGCAGGGCACCUGUCCUUUUUUCCCCUGCUGGCUCCAAGUUGAGACUUGGAGCUCUUAGUGUCUGGGCCGCCGUGGGAGCAGAUGUUGUGUCUGUUGUGGCUGUUCCUGUGAUGCUCUUGCCACCCUCUGGGGUAGAGCAUCACAGACUGCAGACUGUCCCUAAUGUGUCAGGAGCAUCGGCGUGUUGUUCUGUAGCCUCGCUUCUCCUCGGCUUUUGAAAACACGUAUCCUCUGAGGGCCUCGUGAGCCUGACUCUUCGCUGAGCGGAAUCCGGUGAAACUGCUCCUUAGGACGACUCAUUGGCCAGGAAGGAAAGGAGCAUUUCCUUCACUUCCCCUUGGAACUUCCACAGCACUUCCUCCCCACCCUUUCCUCCAAAUCCCGGGCCACAGCGCCCCCUGGUGGAAGCAUGCGGCAGCGGCCUGGGAGAAUGCAGCCGCAGCCUCCCACUCCCAAGGGCCCAG